rnacentral:tRNA from 1 species
GGCGUAGUAGCAUAGCGGCAAAUGCGCCUGCCUGUCGAGCAGGUGACCGCGGGUUCGAGUCCCGUCUGCGCCGCCA